UCUCAUUUGCUCUGACAUGCACUGUGAGCUGUAAGGUCUUAUAUAGACAGGUGUGUGGCUUUCCUAAUCCAGUUCAAUCAGUAUAAACACAGCUGGACUCAAAUGAAGAGGUGUGUUCGAGCUCAUGCGGCGCUGCGCAGACCGAUCGGCGAGGUUUGCCGCUUGCAGUCGAGGGAGGAGCUGAAGACGGAGCCAUCAAGUCGGACAACCUGGCUUCCGUAGUUUCCUGCGUUUACUUCAGACAUGGCAGAUCACGUGGUGUUCGUUUUCUUUAUAGCAGACGAAGUAGAAGCGAUAGAAAUUCCAUUAUUGUUGCAUGAAAUUGAGCACAACGAUCACCAAAGGUUAGUAAAAGGUUUAAUGCAAUACAGUAAUUUCUUUUUUCAAAAGAAAAUGUAAAAAAAAAAAAUUAUACUAGGCCUACAUAAAAAUGACAUAACCUAAUCAUACGAUUAACUUAAUUAAAAUUAUGUAUAUCCUUAUAAAAAGGAAUAAGCCAAAUAUCUAACUUUAGUUCUUAUUUUUUUAAAAAGUCAAAAACUCUGCUGUUAGACUUUUAAUGGGUGUUAAAAACCGAACACAUUUAACUUCACGCCUAACUCUUUAUUGUUUGACUACAAUCCCAGUUUUAACAUAAAACAUUGAUAUUCAAUUUUACUAUGUGUCUCAAUCUACAUGUAUUUAUUGAUUAUAUAUUUCUAUUUCUGAUAUUUAGAAUAGUUCCAAAAAUACUGCAUUUUGUGGAAGAUGUUAUGCCUCUCUACAGUCCUUCAGAAUUUAAAGGUCAUUUCAGGCUUUCCAGAGAUCAAGUGGAGCUCUUCCACAAUGGUUUCCAUACUGGUCAACAUCUUUCUUUCAAAGGAUCGCCUUCGCCUCUCCUUUAGUUGCCGCUAUCUCUCCAAGUCAGGCCUCACCAGUGUCUCGAGCACAGCAGUCCUCCUUUCUGCAUGCGCUUCAUAUGCCUCCAAAACAGAGGAUUGCGUCUCUUCCAAAAAUAACGGCAUGGAGUAAAUUGUACCAGGUGAUGCAGUGCCAAUCCCUGACGAGCCAAAUAACUCAUCCAGCUGUAGGAAAAAAAAGCAGUGCACAAUGAAUCUCUAAUCUUCAGUCACUUAGUAAUACAAUAUGGUUUUACACUUUCUGUAUAGUACUCCCAGGCAUUCUUCCCCUCCCCAGUUGCACGUCGUCUGUCCUUCACCCUUUUGUAGGUUUGUCAACAUGUUUGAUAGCUUUUGUUGACAGGUUGUUCCCCUUCUGUGUGAAUGCCGUUCGAAGUUUCUGAUAGAAAGCCGGUUUGUUCCUGAAGUACAGUUGUUGAUGAGUUUUUGUUAGGUCCAGUAGCAAUAAUGUCAUUGUGUGUCAUUUCUGAGGGAAGAGACAGAAUAAAAAAAUAAAUAAACAACCGAAAACAAUCUGAAUAGUAUUUAUUCACAGCAUUGACAUUUAUCUUCCUUACAAUCUUGGAUGCAAUACCUUGUUGUGAUUCAUGGCUGUCUGACUGGAUGGAGGUAGAUGACCUUUGAAUGGCUUUACUUGCUUGGAGAGUGGCAGACACUGGGACACUGACACUGGGGGUAAGUGGAACUGGGGGCCUGGUGGUAGUUAUCAGUCCCUCCAGAAAAACGGGAUUAUGCGAUCGCCUGAUUUAACGCAUAAUCAGCCAAAGUCCGCAUAUUUAUGCGGGGGUCGCAUUUUUUCAAAUACGCCGCACUUUCGCCGCAUAAAUUGCCGAUUUCAGCAAGCAAAAUAUGCGGGGCUAGCAUGAUUUCAUAAUCCCUGUAUUUUCGUUGCAAAAAAGUCACAUAUAUCUUAGCAGAAAGUUGAAAAAUGUUGCGUUUACUUCACACAAGUAAAGCGCCAUUUUUCCCCCUAUUGCCAUGGGAACCUUAUGAAAUGACGUAAUUACGCGACGUGAACAUCAUCUGCAAGCCCCGUGGUGAAACCAAGGUAAAACCAUGAUGAAGCACGCAAAUCAUUCUCAUUUGCAACAAAAAUAAGCACAAAACCUUACAGUUGUAAGUAAAAUAAUUUACGUUGCAGUAAGAGAUUGCACUUUGUGCAUUGGAAGCACUUAAUUUAACAGAAGAUGUCUGUUUUGUAUAGCUACCUCUGUAAAACAGGAAGCACACAUUUUAUUUAUUUUUUAUAUUUUAUUUAUUCAUUUUUACAGAAGUUGUUGAAUAUUCCUUUUGUAAAGCUACAGAACUUGUUUGACUCAAUGUUUUGUAAGUUUGAGCCAUGUGUUAAUUAAUGUCUGAAAUAAAACAGAAUGAGAACUUAAAUAUUCUGUGAUUUAGUAUGCUUGCUUAUCAUAGGAAGUAAUAAGAAAUAACUCUUUACAUUAAGGUAGUAGCCUAGUGAGAACAGGGUGUUGGGGAAAUCACCUUUUUUUCUCUUUUUCAUCAAACCGCAGUUUUUGCAAGUUCCCGCAAUUUCAUUGCAUAAAAUUGCAAAAAUAUCCUGCAUAUUCCAUUGCAUUUUUUAAGAAAACGUGCCGCAAAAUCAAGGAUUUUUGCCCACAACAAUCACAAAAAAAAUCUGCGUUUUUCUGGAGGGACUGAGUUAUAUUGCACUGGCUGGUUGAUGGUGGUGGUGACGGUGGCUUCAGAGUGGGAGGUUGAGGGACCUUUGGGAUUGAAGCUGGGCCACUGAUGAGGGCUGUUUGGAGAGAAAGCAUUAAAAUGUGGUCAUUGUCACUUACAAAAAUAUUGACAAAAGCUCAAACUUUUAAUUAAAGACAAUUGUGUAAAAGUAUACCU